CGGUAACAGCUCAAAUUUGAAAUCUGGCUCCUCGGGGCCCGAAUUGUAAUUUGUAGAAGAUGCUUUGGGUCUGGGCCUGGCCUAAGUUCCUUGGAACAGGACGUCGUAGAGGGUGAGAAUCCCGUAUGCGGCUGGCGCCCGUGCCCGUGUAAAGCUCUUUCAACGAGUCGAGUUGUUUGGGAAUGCAGCUCUAAAUGGGUGGUAAAUUUCAUCUAAAGCUAAAUAUUGGCCAGAGACCGAUAGCGCACAAGUAGAGUGAUCGAAAGAUGAAAAGCACUUUGGAAAGAGAGUUAAACAGUACGUGAAAUUGUUGAAAGGGAAGCGCUGGCAACCAGACUUGGGCGCUGUUGAUCCGCUAGGGUUCUCUCUAGGGCACUCGGCAGUGCGCAGGCCAGCAUCGGUUUGGGGGGUUGGAGAAUGGCUGGUGGAAUGUGGCUGUCUUUGGGCAGUGUUAUAGCCACCGGUGGCAUGCAGCCUCCCCGGACCGAGGACCGCGCUUCGGCUAGGAUGCUGGCGUAAUGGUUGUCAGCGACCC
rnacentral:rRNA from 1 species